GUAUUUAAAAGUUUUGAGUUAAGGCUUGAGCUGUGAUCGUACUUUUUUUUUGGUGUGUGGAUCAAACAAGUUAUAGUAAUGAGUUCCGACGUUCCAGAGAUUAUAAAAACCAUUACUCGUAAACGAUAUGUAAAAGAAAAACUUUUUAAUCAAAUGCUCAGUGAAUUAUGUGCACGAGAAUGUGAGAAGCAGAGCACUGUUAUCGGUGAAAAUACCGAAUAUUCGGACCAAUUUGGCAGAAGAGGCGGUAAGGAUAAUGAUCGGCAGACAAUUGCGAAUAACAACUUUAAAUUGUAUGGCGAAAAUUCGAAUGCAAUCAGCUUUUGGAAUACAGCAAUCCAUAAUGGACGAGGUCAUUUCAAGCAAUAUCAUCCGCUGACAAAGUUGAACAGUGAAUGUCUUGACGAACCGUGGAGAUAGUGUACUACAUCAAUUUAUUCGGUGAUUAUUCUCAUCGUUCAACUUUAUAUUUGGUAAAAUGGGUCUCACAUAUCUUUUUUUUUCUGCGCGCUCCCAUAGCAAAUCAUAUUUCGUUACUGCUAUAAAUCAUAUAUGUCGAAGGGGAUAAAAACUAGUAUGACUAUUGUCAAUACAAUACAAGCGGACACAAUAAAAAUCUAUAUAUAUAGACAAUUCUGCUGAAGCGUAUAAUGAAAACUCAAUCAUUUGUUAAGUUUUAACAAGCGCAUGGUUUCAACCGCACCAUAAAUGUAAGACAAAAACCAAUUCGUCCCCCUCUUCAUAACAUCGAUAACAUAAAAUAGCACGAAGAUUUCUACUGCAAUGUUGGCGUUUCUCUCAUAAGAAGAUAAAUAGAUAUUUCUGAUUAAACCUGAGAAUUGGCCUUGUAAGAUAGAUUACAAAUGAGAUUUGAUAUAAUAAAAAGAAACUAUUCAUA